rnacentral:tRNA from 1 species
UCCCUGGUGUUUCAGAUGGUAAAGAAUCUGCCUGCAAUGCAGGAGACCCAGGUUCAACCCUGGGUCGGGAA